UCUCUCUCUCUCUCUCUCUCUCUCUCUCUCUCUCUCUCUCUCUCUCUCUCUCUCUCUCUCUCUCUCUCUCCAGAUCUAUCUAUGAAGUACAAAGCUUCACAUCUCCACAAAUAAGAGAAAUCCGACCAUAUUGAAAGGUUCAAGUCACCGAAACCUGAGAUUUCAAGACCGCAUUCUCUUCCUUGGCAAGGUUUUUAAUUUUUGGGUAAAUUUGUAUUAUUUUUUUUUGGGUAAUUUCGUUAUGUGAUUAUGAUAUAAUUGGGGGUUGGGGUUUCAGACUGGGUAUUUUUCAAGAUGCCAAAUCCGUAAAUCCUCUGCAGGUAAGGUAUGGAUUUCAAUUUCCUCUCUUUGUUAUUCUUUGUAAUUUCUUGCUAUUUUUGUGUUUCUUUAUUGUAUAUCUGUGGGAGUACUCACCACCCUCUUCUUUUAGCCAAUGCCCUCUUCUUAUUCAACGUCAAUGUUCUCGUCUAGGUCAUCAGCCAAGUCCUCUCCAUCUAUUGGAUGAUCGAUUUGUAUUGGAAGGUGAUACUCGUAAUGUUGGUUCAUUACUACCGGACUACCCUCUCACUGAUUUUAACUGGUUAAAUAUCCAUCUGAAGCGCAAGCCCAUGGAUUUGAUCAAGAAGUUGCGCUUCAAUCAGGAUGAAAUCAACCCCGAGAUGAUCAGUCACUGCUUUGUUGCGUCUGGCUUAUCAUAGAAGCUUUGUUGCGUCUGGCGUAUCAUAGAAGCUCUCAAGACAAUUUGAAAGACUCCGAAUCUGGAAAAUCACAUGAAGGACAAUACAGUAAAUGGAGGAACCAAAAAAAAAAAUCUAAAUGAGGUUAAAUUAAUUAAAAUUCAAUAAAUAUAUAAAUACAGACACAAGUGUAAUUGUUGAAAUUAAAGUGGAGUCUGCAUAAAUAUUACACACGGACAACCUUUUCUGUGUGAAAGAGCAUUAGCAACGCUCGCAAUAUGUACAAAUUUUAAAUCCGUGAGUGUACUAUGUGAAAAGACGAAUACACACGG